rnacentral:rRNA from 1 species
UACUUCGGGGGCAAGCGUUGUCCGGAUUCACUGGGUGUAAAGGGCGCGUAGGCGGGUUAGCAAGUCAGAGGUGAAAUCUCCCGGCUCAACCGGGAAACUGCCUUUGAAACUGUUAAUCUUGAGUGCGGAAGAGAGAGACGGAAUUCCAGGUGUAGCGGUGAAAUGCGUAGAUAUCUGGAGGAACACCGGUUGCGAAGGCGGUCUCUUGGUCCGUAAAGGAAGCUCAGGCGAGCCCGCGUGGGUCGCCCACAGGAUUAGAUACCAGCGUAGUCC